ACUGCUCAGAUUGAAGCGCAGAGAAGUGUGUAAGACUGCGACUCUGCUCCCUGGUCUGAACUCUGGGUCAGACCAGGGAGCAGAGUCGCAGUCUUACACA